CUGACCUUCAUUAUAGCUAGAUUCCCCUGAGUUGUUAGUAGUCCUUUCAUCAUGUUUGUCUCUUUUUGUGUUACUUUUGUGUCUUACAGUUUGCCAUUCACCCUGUUCUUGUAUUUCCUCCCUUGUUGUUGUUCCCUAUCCACCUGCACCUAUAUUGUUUCCUGUCCUAUCUCAUUGAUUUGUUCUUUACCCUUAUCAGUAAUAGGAACCCAUUCUUUCUUCUUUCCUUGAUUCAUUCAUUUCUUUUGUAUUUGUACUCUUGGCUUUUCUACACAUGAGUGUCCUACUUAAAGAC
rnacentral:lncRNA from 1 species